GAUGAACGCUGGCGGCGUGCUUAACACAUGCAAGUCGAACGGAAAGGCUCCUGCUUGCUGGGGUACUCGAGUGGCGAACGGGUGAGUAACACGUGGGUGAUCUGCCCUGCACUUCGGGAUAAGCCUGGGAAACUGGGUCUAAUACCGGAUAGGACGAUGGUUUGGAUGCCAUUGUGGAAAGUUUUUCGGUGUGGGAUGAGCUCGCGGCCUAUCAGCUUGUUGGUGGGGUACUGGCCUACCAAGGCGUCGACGGGUAGCCGGCCUGAGAGGGUGUACGGCCACAUUGGGACUGAGAUACGGCCCAGACGCCUACGGGAGGCAGCAGUGGGGAAUAUUGCACAAUGGGCGCAAGCCUGAUGCAGCGACGCCGCGUGGGGGAUGACGGCCUUCGGGUUGUAAACUGCUUUCGUCAGGGACGAAGCGAAAGUGACGGUACCUGGAUAAGAAGCACCGGCUAACUACGUG
rnacentral:rRNA from 1 species